UUUCUAUCCAGAUAUGUCAAUGCCUCACAGCUGUGAAGCUGCCACUCCCUCCCAAACUCAUGGCACAGCACCCAGCCAUUCGGAAGAUUUGAGGCACAAACAUCAUCCAUUCAAAAACAUCUGGAAUGUCCUGGAGGAACACAAGAAGACCCUUUUGAGGAUAACAGAAUUCAUAAAGUACAUGCCAUGGAAGAGCACAUGGGGCCAAUGACAAGGAAGAUGGAGGUUAUGGAGAGGAAGUCCAUGACUUUGAAGGCUGCCAUGGCUUUGAACAUGCCACGACCUGCUGUUGGUCCAGUGCAGCAGAGAGCAUAAGCUGGUGGAGCUAGCCAGAAGCCUGGCUCAACCAGAAAUGAGAAACCAAAUGGUCAGCUGGUCCUCAAGACUGAAAACACACACCAACAUUUUUAUUUUCUGUAUUUUAUUUAUAGUUUUUAUUUAUUUAUUUAUUUUACUUUGAGCCUUGAAGGCAUUUUUUUGAUGAAAUUGUAAUAUAAUGUUGCACUGUUCUCACCCAUGUUGAAUUCCUGAUAUUUGUCAAUUAGGCAUUCCCUCAGCCUCAAGACUGGAAACACAUUAUAUGCACUCACAUCCAUUUUUGCCAUCUUCAUUCUUAUUUUGUGCAUUUUACAUUGUUUGGUUUUGUUGUUUGUUUGUUUUUUGCCUUGUUUGCAUUUUAUUAUGAAAAAACAUUGUAAUGUUGCACUGUUACCCUCUUACC